GAUGAACGCUAGCUACAGGCUUAACACAUGCAAGUCGAGGGGCAGCAUGGUCUUAGCUUGCUAAGGCCGAUGGCGACCGGCGCACGGGUGAGUAACACGUAUCCAACCUGCCGUCUACUCUUGGACAGCCUUCUGAAAGGAAGAUUAAUACAAGAUGGCAUCAUGAGUCCGCAUGUUCACAUGAUUAAAGGUAUUCCGGUAGACGAUGGGGAUGCGUUCCAUUAGAUAGUAGGCGGGGUAACGGCCCACCUAGUCUUCGAUGGAUAGGGGUUCUGAGAGGAAGGUCCCCCACAUUGGAACUGAGACACGGUCCAAACUCCUACGGGAGGCAGCAGUGAGGAAUAUUGGUCAAUGGGCGAGAGCCUGAACCAGCCAAGUAGCGUGAAGGAUGACUGCCCUAUGGGUUGUAAACUUCUUUUAUAAAGGAAUAAAGUCGGGUAUGGAUACCCGUUUGCAUGUACUUUAUGAAUAAGGAUCGGCUAACUCCGUGCCAGCAGCCGCGGUAAUACGGAGGAUCCGAGCGUUAUCCGGAUUUAUUGGGUUUAAAGGGAGCGUAGAUGGAUGUUUAAGUCAGUUGUGAAAGUUUGCGGCUCAACCGUAAAAUUGCAGUUGAUACUGGAUAUCUUGAGUGCAGUUGAGGCAGGCGGAAUUCGUGGUGUAGCGGUGAAAUGCUUAGAUAUCACGAAGAACUCCGAUUGCGAAGGCAGCCUGCUAAGCUGCAACUGACAUUGAGGC
rnacentral:rRNA from 1 species